AUCUUCUCAUGAGCUCCUCUCUGUCCAUUCAGUGACUGUGCACGGAUUCGCACGAGAAGUAGAGUAACUAUCACAUUUAAACGGGUCUCUCCCCUUAAUGAAUAAACGGGAGUUACCUAUGUCUGAUGUGAGACAACU
ensembl:snoRNA SNORA75 Small nucleolar RNA SNORA75